UACGUAGGUGGCAAGCGUUGUCCGGAAUUAUUGGGCGUAAAGCGCGCGCAGGUGGUUUCCUUAAGUCUGAUGUGAAAGCCCACGGCUCAACCGUGGGAGGUCAUUGGAAACUGGGGAACUUGAGUGCAGAAGAGGAAAGUGGAAUUCCAAGUGUAGCGGUGAAAUGCGUAGAGAUUUGGAGGAACACCAGUGGCGAAGGCGACUUUCUGGUCUGUAACUGACACUGAGGCGCGAAAGCGUGGGGAGCAAACAGG
rnacentral:rRNA from 1 species